AUCCGCUGGAGGUUGAGGCCUACUCUUUCCUUGAGAAAAAAAAAGAAGAGGCUUCUCUCUGAUAAAUAAUGUUGCACUGGAAUAGUUUAGCAGAGUUUUAUUGUACAUAAACCUUGUUCAGCAUCUUCACAUGUAACAGAGCAUCAUAACACUGACAUCUCGAAGCAUUUCUGGGCAGUGGAGUGUUAAACGGCCCCGGCAAGAGUGGCUCCCCCCACACGCGCUCGCUGCCAGCCAAACCAAAUUGCACUUUAACUCCAGGAAAGAUGAAAUGCUGCCUCUCAUGAGGGUUGCUGUCUAUCCGGCAUCUCGCCGACAUUUAUGGAAGAAGAACUCACCGUUGCGCGGCUUCCGCACGACUGACAAGCUCUGAAAAACGCAACGCUGUGUUGUCAGGCCGCGAGGAUGGAGGCAGAGCGGAAAACUUGAUCUGGCCUGGUAAAUGGAGGUUGAUUGAAGAGGUGCUUCACUGGCUGCCUGACUGAUGGACUUCAGGCCUGGACGCCCUGUCUUUCUCUUUCUCUCAGCUGCAGGAGAG
rnacentral:lncRNA from 1 species